rnacentral:rRNA from 1 species
AUGCCAACUCCGCCCGAUAGUCGGGCCCAACCGAUCAGUGACGUCAUCAAACUUGUUAGCAUUUCUCAUCAGUGUUUUUUUGUCACUGUCAAUUCUUCGGCUCGGUGCAAAGUGUCACGUUUUGUAAAAUGGCGGUUUUCUGAGAGAAAGCUUGGAGGAGGGGGGCAUGGUACUAUAUACAAAGGGAUUUUUUCUGACUUGCAUGUUGUAGCCAUUAAAAGGUCAAAUAUUGUGGUCAAGAGAGAAAUUAGUGAGUUUAUAAAUAAAGUUGCCAUACUCUCACAAGUCAACCAUAGGAAUAGUGUAAAGCUUCUUGGAUGUUGUCUCGAGACUGAAGUCCCUUUGUUGGUCUAUGAAUUCAUUUCCAAUCGUACCCUAUGUGGUCUUCUUCACAAGGAACCGCUGGGAUCAAUAACUUGGAAAAAUAGAUUAAGAAUCGCAACAGAAAUUGGCAAAGCCCCUGUUUACCUUCACUCAGCCAUUUCAGUCCUAGUAUACAGAGAUAUCGAGUCAGCCAAUAUACUUCUUGAUGAUGCGUUCACAACAAAGGUGUGUGACUUUGGAGCUUCAAGGUACAUUCCUCGUGAUCAAUCAACUACAACAACAGUGGUUCAAGGAACUUUUGGAUAUUUAGAUCCUACAUACUAUUACACUGGUCGACUAAACAAAAGUGACGUUUAUAGCUACGGGGUAAUUCUCAUUGAGUUGCUUACUAGCAAAAUUUCAGCUACAUAUAGAUCAUCCUAAGGAGAUGGGAUUGUUGCACAAUUUGUUGAACUAUUUGCAGAAGGUAAAUUGGUUGAAAUACUGGAUCCACAAGUCAUGAAGGAGAAAGGUAGCACUAGUAGAAAAGGGGGCAACGAUCCAGGCCGGGUCAGCCCAUUAGUCCCGGUUCAGUCCAGAACCGGGACCAAUUGGGGCAUUGGACCCGGUUCGUGA